UGCUGUGACAGAGUGGACGUUUUGAUCUCUGAGAACUUUCUUCACAUUUCAGAAAAUAACAGUGACCUCUUUGGAUCUUUAAACUACAGUCUAGAGUGAGCAGACUUCAGAAGGCUCAGUCAUGUAACGACUACGUUCGUCAUUAAUGCAAAGCAACGUGACAGGAAAAUUGGAAGAAUAUGGGAAAACCUCAAAUACUUCAAUGAGGAAAACAAAACCAAAGGCUGCACGGUCAAAUCAGUACAGUCAACUGAGGAAGGUGGAUUCCAUCAACUUGGGAGCAAAUGUGGGGACUGAAUUGGCAGAAAUGUCCAGAUAUUUCAUGGGAGACUCAACUGGACAGCUCGUGCCGUAAGUGAAGCUGCACUUCUCAAGAGAAAGCUUGACCUCUACCAGAUGAACUGGUGUUGCACUGGAGUUUUCAAUUGGCUGGAUCUGGGCAGGAAGACCUCCACAGCGUACAUCCAGAAGCAGCGGUCUAG